rnacentral:lncRNA from 1 species
CUGUUGAUGUGGUAAUGAGUGAUCAGACUCCACUUCAUGGUCCAUGUGAACUAACAACACCAGAUACUGUCGGGUCUAACAAGGAAAAUGUUGAUAAUAUUAACUCUGCCAUUGAGUCCUCCCAACUUACUGUGUUACGACCGCCACUUCAAGCCUACAGAUGCAGCAGUUCGUAUGGUAAUCAUUUCUGGCUCAUAUUAACAAUCAUACAUAAUGCACACAUACAUCGUACAUAGUAUAAACCUAUGUUGCUCAAGUUGUCUUGAACCUAAUUCACACUUACUAUACAGAAGAAAAACAAGCACUGAAGAGGCAGAGGGAAAAUGCCCGGUAUGAGCAACAUAAAGAAGAGAUAUUGCAAAGCCUACGUGACAAACGUCGUGCAGCCAAAUCUACAGUAGUGCUUACAACCGGAGAACAAAACCAAUCUGAUACAGGUGAUGCCAGCUACAUGAAACACUGUAUUUCUUAUAUUAGAUUUCCUAACUGAGAUUCACUCGAUGUUUCUGUAGCUGAUGAAGAUUGUGAUUGGAUCCACACAAACGAUAUGUACCAGAGACAAACCAUUGGAAGGAUGAUGAGGCGAGACAACAUAGUCACUGCG